rnacentral:lncRNA from 1 species
ACGAUUAUUAUUCCCAUAAUAUUGAAAACGAUGUGCCUAAAUAAACAAGAAAAAUAAAUAGCUGUGCCCGGUGCGAUCCAUGAAAAGCUUCAGAAAGAAAAAGUAAAAUAAAAAACAAAAUUUAAGUAAAAAAAGCUUAGUUUAUCUACUUGGUUCCUAUGUACACUGACAUUAUAAUUUACAAGCAGUUAAAUUCAUGACAGAUUAAGGUUUUAACAUUGUCUACUUAGCUAGUGUAGUAAAGUUGAGGCAUUAGAUGAAAGCAAGAAAGGUGAAAUAAAAAAAAUUAUUACAGUGACCGGAUCUGAAAAAACAAGAACAAUAUUUGCAAGACAUUAUUUUUUUGAAGGUUAAAUGUGUACUAGGAUCGAACAGCAUGCAGAUAAUUAGUUAAUAAGCUAAAAAAAAUAUUUUUUUUUGUUGUCUUCGCAGCAAAAAAGUGAAAACAAGGUUAAGACUAAAGAGUGUUAGUUGAAAGAAGUAAGCGAACCAAGUAGUGGUGUGGCUCCCAAGAGGGUGUCAACCCCAGCAUACUUGCAGGACUUAACAUAAACAACUCCUUGAACUGCGACAAAGCUUCUAGGAAAGGGGUGAACCGGAACAACCGGAGGUUUAACAGGAGGGUGAACCGGAACAACCGGAGGUUUAACAGGAGGGUGAGCCGGAACAGGAGGUUUAACUGGAGGGUGAACCGGAACAGGAGGUUUAACUGGAGGGUGAACCGGAACAGGAGGUUUAACUGGAGGAUGAACCGGAACAGGAGGUGGAUUAACAGGAGCAGGAGGGUGAUGGUGAUGGUGGUGAGUAGGAGGCUUAGCAGGGGCAGGGGUAGGAGGGUAAUUGUGGUGAGAAGGUGAAGGAACAGGUGCUGGUGCUGGUGCUGGUGCUGGAGGGUGGUGGUGGUGGUGGUGGUGGUGUGGGUGAGGAGCAUUUGCUGGUGGGUGAAGAGGUGCUGGUGUGGGGGAGUGAACAGGGUGAGGGUGAGGGUAAGAGGGUGGAAGAGUUUCAAGUUCAAGCUCUACAGCAAACACAUUACUCACAGCUACGAGGAGAAACAGCAGCACUGAUGCCAAGGCUUUGGCCAUUGCUUCAAGCAAGUGAAGCAGAGAGAGAGAGAGAGAGAGAGAGAGAGAGAGGAGAGGAGAGUUGUGUUGGUAUCAUAUGAGUAUGGCAGUGGUUGAUUUAUAGGGGCUGAUGCCGGGAUUCUCUGCGGUUUUUGUUCAUAUCUAUACAAAAAAUUAAGGAUGUAUUCGUUUGUAGAAAAAUAUAAUUAAAAAUAAAUUAUUAUAUUUUAUUUUAAUUCAAAAUUUUCAUGUUAUAUCUUAAUUUUUUUUUACUAUACCAAAUAAAUCAUAAUUGUGAAGAAAAAAAAAAGUUUUUGCUUAUUAGAGUAACUAGUGCUAGCUAGCUUAGGUUUGCGUGAUGAUGGCAUCAGAGUGGAAAACUAGGGAAAUGGUAAUGUGAGGAAGGUAAAUUUGAAAAUCAGAGAUCCCAGGCUGAAUUAAAUGGAUCUAUGAGUCUGUGAUAUAUUACUGCUAGCCCUACGCUGAUGUUAACAUAUUAGUAGUAUUUGGGUAGUAUAGUACUCGUGAGACACAUUAUUAAUUAUUAAGUGUGUAUAUGAUUUUAUAUGGAAGAAUUGAUUUUAAGUUUAGAAUUAAUUUUAAGUUAAAAUAAUUUUAAGUAAUUUUUGUGUUAGAUAAAAAAGUUAUAUUAAAUUUUAUUUCUUAAAUAUAAAUUAUAUCAUUUUAAAAUUAAUUUUAUUCAAACUUAUUUUUUUGACGUUAAUCCAAAACUGCACAAAAUACAAAUUUUUUAAAAAAUAGGUUUAAUUAUAAUUUACUAUCUUUUUUAUGUUUUUUUUUUAAAUUUUGUCACCAAAAUAUUACGAAAUCUGUGCAUUCUGUCUCUACCUCCUAUAUUAAAUCUAAGCAUUUUUGUUUUAAAAUUGGAUGAUAAAAUAUACAAAAUUGUAAAAGUUAAGUAACAAAAUGUGUCUGAAGAAAAAAUGAAUCACAAAAUGAGCGAUCCAGAUUUUGAAAGAGUUGUGACAAUAUGUGCAAAAUCUAUAGUUUGAUAGCAAAUUUGGCAAAAGCAAUUAAGGAAAAAAAAGUACAUGAAUUUUAGUAAAUUUUGAACGGUAAAUAAAAUAUUUUAUAAAAAAUUGUCCAAAAAUAUAUUGAUAGGCUUUUUUUUUGAAACUUUGGUAGUUGGUUUUUGACACUUGUGUAAAAUUUGACUACCUAUAAUCAUAAAACUUUUUUAUUUAACCAUUUUAUAAGUGUUAUGUUUCUAUAAAAAAAAAAAAAGACAUGACAAAUUAUUAACAAAUUUGAUUCUUUAAAAGAAACAACUCGCACUUUUUAGUAUGGAAUUGUGUUAAUACAAUUAUAAUUAAGAAUACGCAAAUGGCAGAAUGAAUGCACAUGCAUAGGUGCUUGUUAUUGCACUUCUUACAAGGCUUAUGUAGAAGUUUCCAAGGACUUCGGUAAUAGCUUUGCGUUUUUUUAUUACUGGCUUUGAGUUUCUGAUAUGGCAUUUAUUAGGGAAGAAAACAGAAAUGACUUGAACAAAAAGAAAACCCACGAAAAGGUCAAAUUUUAUGAACACGAAAGAGGCGACAUGGAAUGAUGGAUAGAGAAGGCCAGAAGGGUUAGUAGCACUUUAAUGUGUUUUAUAUUGGUAAAAUCAACCCAUUUUUUUUGUUGAUAAAGUUAGAAAUCGAAAUAACCGAACACUUACAAAUUAACUGAUUUAAUUAAAAAUAUUUUAUAAAAUUAAUUAAUAAAUAUCAAAUGACAUAAAAAUAUAUAUUUAAUAAUUUUAAUAUUUGAAUUUAUUUGUAAUAACUUUUUAAUAUCAUCUCAAAAGGUAUGACUAUAAUUUUGUAUUACAAAAGAUAGAAUAGUAAAAAUUUGUGAUAAAAAAGAAGAAAGUAACAAAUGCUAUAAGUGAAUUAGUGGUUUUUUUAUUGGAAUUCAAAUAUAGAAAUGAAAAUAUAUUAAAAAUAAUGUAAUAAUUUUAACUAGAAAUAAAAAUAUGGUAGCCUAAUUUAUCUUUUACCUUCAUAUGUUCAAAUGUUAAAAUGAAAUAAUUUGUGUUAGAAUAAUUCUAUUUUAAAAAUAAAUUAGUAAUAAAACUUAAUGUAAUGUUUUAUCUAAUACAAAUUUAUUUGUUUAACCUCAAAACCAAUUUUAAAUUCAACGUAAAAUCAAAUAUCUAAACAUAUAUAACUAGAAUUACUUUUGUUACCAUUUUAACAUCAUGCACUAAAUGGAAUUGUACAAAAACAAAAUCCAGGUUAUGCAAUUGUCAUUAAUGAUAGUUAAACCUUUUGUGCAGACUCCAAUAUAUAAAUUAAACUUUGUUCAUUCUAAACAAAAUAUUAUUUAACAACUUCAAUAAAAAUUGAAUUUAUAUAAAUAUCAUCCUUACUUUUCUUCGUUUGCACCUCAUUUUCCCGUAAAUUUUGAUGGAAAAGGACAUUAAUAUAAGGACAAAAAUUGUUCGGCCACGAACGGUCUAAAAUAAAGCCGUUUGAACGUAUAUACAGUAUUAUCCUGUCCACCUUACAAGAAACACAAUUAGAACACAAAUUAGUUUUUAUUGUUAACUUUUUUAGAUAAACGUUCUUAUUGUUAUUUUAUUUCUUCGAGUUUCGUAAAAGAAACAUCUAAAUAGAUAUAUUUUUUGUUUUUUUACUGAAUAAAUGUAUUAUUUAUUAAGAAGAUUUAGUUGGAUUGAUUCAUCAGCGCGUGUAAUAUAGUUAUAAUGGUUAAUUAUUUUUCUUUUUAAAAAAAUCAACAGGAUAAAAAGGAAAAUAAGUAUAUACUAGCAUUGAAAAGAACAGAAGAACCAAAAUAUUAUUUUCGAUAAUGUAACAAAAAGGAUAGUGAUACGCUCCUAUUGAUUAAGUUUCUGUAUGCAAAAUCAUUGAGCCAUGCUGCAGACAUGUUCUAUCUUUCUGGGUUAGUGAUGGGCACAUCUUGUGUGCUCCCCCAUUAAUAAUAUAUUUUCUUUGCUUCUUAAAAAAUGCUACUUUUAUUUAACAAUUUAUCUUUUUUACAAAUUAAUACAUACUACAAUCUAGUCUAUUAUAUUGCGUAGUUUAGGGUUUUUUUUUUAAUUUGUUUACACAACUUAACAUUAUUUUAUAGUUUUGAACUUUCAUUGUUUAUUGUUCUUAUUAUGGGUAAAAAAACAAAAAACUUAAACAUUUAUUAAUGGAGAGGUAGAGGUAAUGAUUAUUCUUUGUCAGAUUUUGUUAAUCAUUGUCCUAAGGAAAAAGGAAAUAAAAAAAAAUUAAUGUAUAAAUUAUAAAAUAGUGUAAAAAAAAUCAUGAAAAAUAUGGUGUCAGCCUUCUUAAUUUCUUAACUAAUAUCUUUGAGACAUUUAUUAGCAUUUGUUUUAGUUAUAUAUUUAGUAAACAUUUAUUAAAUUUAUUGGAGGGAACUCCAAAAUAAUGCACAUUAAUUUACUAAAUGUAUUAAGACAUGGAUCCCGUCCGUGAAUCCUGGUGCUUAGUUUGUUGUCAUUUGCCACUACAUUUUAUGCUCAAUUUGUUUAUAAGCUUGCCAUGCCCAUCUGAUAACAACUCAUUUCCACUUUUUGGAGUUACAUACAAGAUUGCCGUCAUUUAAUUUUUGAAAAUUUUAUUGAUUAAGUAAGGUUUAUCAUCAAUUUGAUGGAACAUAUAUAUACUAACAUUUCCAUCUAAAUUCUACAAUUAUUAUUAUUAUUAUUAUUAUUAGUAGGAUAAAUUGUAAUUUUUUUCUCCUUUAUAUUUCCAUCUAAAUUCUACCUAUGUUUAUUUAUUUUAUUUUAUUAUAUUUUAAUUAAUUAAAUUAUUUUUAUGGUACCUUAAAUAAAUAUGUUAGGUCUAAAAUUUAAUUGGAUCAAAAUAAAAGAAAUAAAACAUAUACAAAAUUGAGAAAUGAACCUAAAUUAUAAAUUUUGUAAAAAAGUGGACUAAAAUCACAUAAAAAAUUAAACAAACUAAAAUUGUAACUUAUUAUUAUUAUUUUAUUAUUAUUAUUAUUUGAAAAUCAAACAAUUCUCAAAGUCAAAAACAUAAUUCGCGUGUUUUUUUAAAAAAAAAUUAAGAAUAAAAUUCAUUGAUAUAAAAGUAUAACAACCUUGAUUACCUUUAACCAAAUAUAUAGAAACUAUACACAUAUUUCCAAUAAGUAAACUAACAUCCAAACACAAACUUCACUAACCACAACCAAACCACAGAAUUACAAUUUACACCACUCUGAUGUUUUUUUUUCUCGGUUAUUUAGUUUAUGCUUUUAUUUAUUCUUUAUAUAUGUCCCAUUAUAAUGUAAGAAGAAAAAAUAAGUAUUAAAGUAAGCCUUGUUUUAGUUUUUUUAAUAUAAUAAUAACCACUUUUUCCUACUAAUACUCGUAAUAAGUAGUAUUAUUUUAACUUUUCAAUGUAAUAUUAGUCUAAAUUAGUCACGUACAAAACUUUUCAAGCUCAUUAACAGCACCCCGGAUACACAAGGCUAAAAUUGAUUAUCAUGUUGCAACUUUGAUCAUCAGAAUCUGAACAGAUUGAACUUCCAAAAUUGCUCUAAGAGUCUCAUUUCUUGUUGAAGAAGCUAGAUAGUUGACUACAAAAAUGUAAUCAAACCACUAAAUUAAUGAAGGCAAACAUAAUAAAAAAGAAAUUCAUGUCACAAAGUUUUAGGCUAAAACCUUCACAUGGAACAAUCAAUGCUAUCUUCUAGAUCUGUUUUUGAAACUUCUCAAGCAAACAUAUUAAACUUAGUUGGAACUCAUCAAAUACCACAAGCUGGAUAAAUUCAGCUUCAUCCCUACCCAUUGCAAACUAGAGAGUUAAAAAUUUUGACUAACCCAAAUUGUUUGUAUGGGCUUCCUGGGCUGAUUGUUUUGUUGGGCCUACAGUUUGCAAUUUUGCACCCUGUAUUAGUUUGUUGGUGUUGAAAUUUAGGAUGGAGAUGAAAAAAUUAACUAGUUGGAUAUAAUUUUAAGGACUGAUAAAAUUAGAAUACUGAUAUAAUUUUAUUGUUGUAAAAUAUAGAUUUUGUGGCUAAUAUCAGAGCCUUAGAGCUGUACUUCCACACUUUACAAAUGAUAUACCAAUUUUUCUUUAUAAACCUUUUCACCUUUUUAUUUUUCAGAUGUUUCACAAUAUAUAGUUUUUUUCACCUUUUUCUUUAAGAAUAAUUGAAUUUUUUAUUUUUUUUUUGCAAAUAACAGUAAUGAAACAAUAGUUUUAAGAAGGAUAUAUAAAACUGAUCAACAAUCUUACAAGUCUUAUCAAUUAUCUGGUGGGCGACAAAGGAAAACCAAAAAAAGAAAAAACAAGGAACAAAAUCAGUUCUUUAGAAAACACACCCCUGGUGCUUUGGUGCAUCCGCAUGUAACCAAGUGUCAUUAAUCUUUUCUUAUAAAUUGAAAAGCUUAAAUACAUGUCACCUACGUAUAAAUUGGUUGGAACUAUGGACACUUGGUAGUCUGGAUUACUUAAUACUAUUUUUUUGCAAACAAAAGAGAUAGCAAUUAAUCCAAUGUGAAGGGAAGGGGAAUCCAAGAACAUGAAGCUCUGCCCAGAAGUUUAAGAACCCAUGUUUUUUGCCGAGAUAUCCGCAUAUUGAUUUCCUUCUCUAUGGAUAUGCUGGAUACAAACUAUAUUCCCGAUUAUAAGUUGUAACAUGUCUCUGCAGAUUGAUAAAUAAUGGCAGCAAACAUGUUAAAAGGUUGAAAAUUGCGUACCAUUACAAGGUCAUUCGGUUAAUGCAUGGUUUUAUAGAAUUUUAUAUAACUUUGUUAUUAUAAACAAAAUAUGUAUCUUACUAGGUACGUACUGUUUCUUUUGAUUAAGAGGACUAUCAACAACAUAAGCUAGCAUAUUAGUGGUGAGGGCUCUCAGGCUGCCACGUACGUAGUAGGUCUUUGCGACCACAAGGGCAAGGCUAAAGGUGGAUGUGUGAAAAGAGGUUGUUGGGGGCAAGAUCUGAGGUUGGUGGCAUUAAGAAUUAAUUAAGAUGGUGUAACGUCCCUCACUCUGGAAUCUUAAGCUCUUUUUUCUUACGAGUUUGCAACCCAAAAGGUCGUUCUUCAAUUCUUCUACAUGAGUACGUAGGACAUUAGAGUUGAGCAACAUUAUGUAUACUUCGAAGGUCGUGUGUAUUUUACACCAAAAACAAUUUUACUUGAUGAACAGUAUAAAAUUACUAUGAUAAAACUUUUGUUUUAAAUGAUUUAUUUGAUAAUUGAAUUAAAUAAUUUAAUUUAAUUAAAUAAAUAUUUUAAUGAAAUAUUAUUAUAUUCUUCACUGAAAAUAAGGAUAUAAUUAAUAUAAAUAAAAAGUAUUAUUUUAUAAAUAUGAAAAUUGUUCAUGAAAUAAGAAUAAUUAAGAUUCCACUGUGACAUGCCAAGAUCAUAUUAUGUGCUUAGUUGUAAAAAAAAAGUGAGAUAGUUUUUAUUUUCAUAUAUAAAAAUAAAGGAAUAUGAAAUUAUUUUAAAUAAAAUCUCUUUUUUUAAAAUGUCUAAAUUUGUAUAUCUUUAACUUUAUACAUAAACAUAUAUGUAAGAACAAAAUGUACCACACAAACUACAAAAAUUCAAGCUAAAUUUUUAGAUCUGAAAAGUUAAAAAAAAUAGUUUAUUCUUUAGAAUUUGACUCAAAGUGUUUAAUACGUAGAGUCUAUGUAUUAUUAUUAAGAAAAAAUUUGUAUAUCUAUUUAUCGAGUGUAUAAAUUUAUUUAUUUAUUAUUAUUGUAUAUUUUGAAGGUAAAAUAAAUCUUAUUUUUUUUUAUUAUAAGUGUUGAAAAUACUUCUAUCUAAACAACCGAUAUAAAUAUCUUGGGUUUCCUCUUUCCUUGGUGCCAAUUUAAUGUAUUGAUAUAAUUAAAUAAAAAUCACAGGCCUAAUGAAAAAUCAUUAUAAUAACUAAUGAACACAUGCAAGGGAAAAAUAUACAUAAUUAGGAUCGAGCUAUACAAUAUACGGAUCAAAAUUAAUAUCGACACACACAUUCACUAAAAUGAUAAAAAAAAUACCUAAAUGAAUCGAAAGCUGCAGUUAUAUAUCAUAAACCUAAACGUUGUUCAUUUUCAUCAUAUAUAGAGAGAGCGUGACGUAAAAGAGAUAUGAUCACUUACAUCAUUUACUGACUUUUAAUCAGAUACUUUUACUCUAAAAUAGAUAUAUAACCAUAUAUACUUGAAUUGAUAAAAUAGUAGAAUUUAUGCAGUUUCUUAACAGAUCUGCAUUUUCCAAAAUGCAAAUUUGGCAUGGAAAAACCCUCUAAUUUGUUUAGGAAACAGAAAGAGACCUGGAACAAAAAUAUCGAUUCAUGAAUUAAUUUGCAUGCAUCUUCUCUGGAUUAACAAUUAUUGUCAACUACCAGUCCUUCGUUAUUCUGUUAAUUCUUUCUUUCCCAAAAGAGACUUAGAUAUCAAUAUCAUCCAUUAUAUAGAUAUAUCGUAUAUGAAAUCGGAACACAUGUUUAAUAUCCAAACUAUAGUAACAAACUAAACAACCUUUUCAUCAGAUUUCACAAGUUCUAUAUAUAAACAUACAAGUGCGUGCUCACACCCACGUAAAUCGAUCAAAUCUUAAUUGUGAAGCCAACGCAAGACAGUGAAUAUGAAAUUGCUUACUAGAUAAAACGGUGGUAUAGUAUCCUCUUGAGAAUAUUCAAUUUAGAUUUCCACCAACAAUUAAUGCUAUCAGCCAUUGAAAUACUUCUUUAAUUUCUCAGAUAUCCUCAAAGCUCCAUUUGCAGAUUCCCCUACCUGAAAAAUGCAAAAACAAUAAAGUUACAUAAAAUUCAUAGGGCAGAGGGCAGAAAGGGGAAUUUAUGUUUCACCUGAUGACAGUGUAUUGUAUGAAAAACUUCAUUUUCAACAACGGUAUAACUGGCAUUAACAACAUCUGAUCCUUCUUCUUGAAGAACACGAACGGUCUCAUUGAACAUGAAUUGACAAUCCAACCCAGUUAUUAGAAAAACCUCUAAAGUUGAACCCAUUUGUUGGAUUUUAAAUUGUGGAGACUUCAACAAUCCCAUAUUCAUGCUAACAUUUUUUGAUCUUUUAAUGUCUAUUAGGUUGUUCUUUUUCUCCUUCAUUUUCUCUAAUUUAAUCUGUAAAUUCUUUAUGUAAUUUGUGGCUUCACCUAUCUGAUCCGGCCGCGAAAUGGCCUCCUACAAAAAGAUUCAAAUAAAAUUGAGACGUUUGUGUGCAUAUAAUAAUAUAAGAGCAGUUGGUUAAGUAAUUAUAAGAGAAAGAGAGUAAUAAUACCCUUGAGCUUUGAUGAGGCACAACUGAGUUGAGCUUGAAGAAAAGAUCCUUCAAAUGAUUUCUUCUAUUCUGUUCAAUGAAUUUUCUAUCAGUUCUUGAUGAUGAACUAGGGUUGUUCUCCAUUAAUUAAUAUCCCUUAUGAAUGCAAUAGCUCAUCCGCUAGAGAACUCUGAAUACUCAUCAUUGAUUUCAUUAAAAUAUAAUACUUUUCAGACAAGGGUUGCAAGGUAAUUGGAGUUUCUCGUGGCUUUUAGAAAAGCUAGUUAGUAUCAUUGGAUGCUACUGAUAAAGGUUCAUGUGAUAUAGAUGUGGUGGGGCACCAUUUUGUCGGAUAUAUAUACAUUUUUUUUCCUUUUUUGGUUCCUAUGAUGAACACUAAAUAUAAAUGCCCUAUCAAAAUCCACCAAUGUGGGCUUACUAAUUUUGGACCUCCACCAAUGUUAAAGAAAUAUAUACACAUAUAACAGCAAUUUAAGGAUUAAAAUAUUUCUUAUAUUCUAUUAAUAUAUUAUAUAUUCGAUUUUUUUAUUGAUGAUAUAAAACAACAAUGUAGGAAUUUCAGCUGUAACAGUUUUUAGGUGUAAUAGAUAAUUGAAACUGGCAUUUUACGUACUGCUCUGAAGUAGUUAAUGACUUUUUCACUUAUUAUUAUAUCAGAGAUUAUAAUUUUAAAUAAUUACUAUAUAUCUAAUAUUUUAUUGAUACAUACAUAAAAAUGAUAUUGUUGUACCUACAAAAGAAUAAUUAGGUAAUCUUUCUUCUUGCUAACUCUUUGUCUAAGGUCUUAUGCUUCUAGUGAUUGAUGCUUGACUGUAAAAGGAAGGAAACUCAAGUCGGAUUUCAAAUAAGAAUAAUAAACAAGCAUAUUUAAUAUGUUAUGAAUAGUCUUUCCUUGAUAUUCUCACAUGUAGUUAUACAUAUUUUAAUGGGUACUUGAACCUAUGGGCAUGAAUACUUAUGUGUUUUAUAGAUACUUUCCUGAUUCAUAAUCAGGUACUCUGUUAGACUGAGUACUUGGAUACUCUUUAGGAAUAACUUGUUUUCUGUGUGUUAAGGUUGAAAGAUAUUUACGACUAUUCGGUAUGAUACAAUUGUGAUGUACAAUACACCAGAAACAUAUAUAAUAUAAAAAAAACUAUCCUCUAUUAAUGCACAAAAAAAUCAAAACUUUAAGAUUAAUUUACAUCCGCUAAUAUAACGCAAAUUAUCAGUAUAAAUAUUAUACAUGGGUUUGUAUUUUAUCAUUUUUUUGAUAACGAGUGGUUGAUUAUUAUGAGAAAUAAAAAAAUAAUUACACUAUUACAUUUAAUUAACUCUUCAAAUAAUGUAAUUAAUAGAUUAACCAAUAAAAGGUGGUAUAUAUAUAUAUAUAUAUAUAUAUAUAUAUAUAUAUAUAUAUAUAUAUAUAUAUAUAUAUAUAUAUAUAUAUAUAUAUAUAAAAUAAAUAAGAUGUUGCUUUGCAUAUAUAGCUAGCUAGGUUGUAGUGAGAACUAGGAAACAUUAAGUAUGAAAGUAAUAAGACAAAUGCUAAUCACUUGAUUAAAUUAAUUCAUUAUGGUAGUGAAAGUAAUUAAAAUUUUGCGAAUUUCACAUAUACUUUAUUUUAUUUUUCACGACAAUCAAAUCAUUUAAUUUUUUUUUUAAAAAAAGUAUAAUUUUCCUCCUCAUUUUAAUUUUUUCAACCCGAAGACAGCAUAACAAAAAUUUUAAUUUCGUACCCGAGGCACAUAUACCCCAUGUAAGAGGACGAUCACCCCAUUGCUAAGGAUAGAGUUGAUCAGCAUUACUCUGAGACCAUGGGAGAUGGAGUAGUGAUCAACUUUUUUUUCCCUUUUAGUUGGUGGUUAGGGGAGAGUGAUGGGAGGUAUCCUAGGGGAGCCAGAAGUAAAGCCUUGUUUUAGAGUCUAGGGUUUAAAUCCAAAAAUAAAGAAAAAAAAUUAUUAUCUCAUAAGUUAAAACUAGUUUAUACAUUUCUUCAUAAGUAUUUAUAGAGAGAGAAAAAUAGAAAACUAAAAUAAAUUUAUUUCAUAAGUUAAAAUUAGUUUAUACAUAAGUUAAUUUUAACUUAUAAGAAAAACUUAUCUUUUUUCUUAUUAUUCUUUGUAAAGUUUUUAGGGAUAAUAAUCUUAUUUAAAUAGGAUCUUAAUACGAACGAAUUUAACUCACUUGAUUAGUAUUAAUUCUUGUUAUUUCCAAUUUGGAACAAUUAAAUAGUACUGGCAUUAAAGAAAGAAAAUCUGCAGAGUUUGGAUUUCACGAUUAAAGAUUGAAAUGGACGUAUAUCAGGAUAUGUCGAUGUGUAUUCUGCUUUGUACCUGCAAAUUAUUUCAAAUCGUCGCCUUUUACACUUUAAGGAGAGUACUUUUCAAACCUUUGAAUGUAUCUGAAAAUUCACUAACGCGUGAUCUUUUUCUCUAGCUGGAUUUGAAUCUGUUCUAUUUUGGUCUUACAACUUAGCUAUAAUUUUAAGUUUGGGCUGGAUUGCUCCAACUAUAUGUGCAGUAAUCAAAUAUUAUAUCUCGUUUUCAUAAUUUGGGAAAUGGUGGCACUUUCUAAUCCCCUGGAUUACAAGCAACAUAAAACAUCCGCUACAACAUAAUUACUUAACAAGUAUUUUGCUGUUAAAAGAAUCUACUUCAUUUGAUUAAGCAAGAGUAUAUGUGUGAAUUAUUGUCAGUUAAACUAGAGUGUAUGUAUGAGUUAUUGUAAAUUCUAUAAUAUUAUUUUUUAUUUCAACAGAUUAAAAAAUAACUGUAUUUUACUCGGUUUUCAAGCAAAAGAAAACCUAGUGAUGCUGAUUGUUGAAUUUUGCACCAAAUUGAAACUGUGACAAUUUCGCUACUAAGUACUUUAUCAUUCAGGAAUUAAUGUUAGCGGAAACCACCUCUAUGCUCCCCUUUUUACGGGUAACAGUUUUCAAACAAUUAAUAAUAUGUGGCAGUGGUUGAUGCUUGCCUUAUGUCAUGCUUCGACCAAGAGCACUUAUUUUUAGAAUUUUUUAGAGUCAUCCCACACUUUUAAUUGUCAAAAUUAGAGAAUUAAAUUAGAAUUAUGCAUUUUGGAUUUGGCACUUUAAUGUUAAACAUAGAAUCUUUUGGGUUUUUUUGUGUGAUCACCUUCGUUCUUAUGUGAGCCUUUAGCUUCUUAGUUAUUAAUAAUUUGAUCCAUGCUUUAUAGUCAUCCCCACGCUUUAAUGUUUUAUAUAUACAUAGAUAGAUAGACAUAUUUGGGUGUGCGUAGGUUAUAUAUAUAUAUAUAGGGAACUUUGUCAUAGCUAAGUUGGGAUACGCCUAGACAUGGGUAUUAAGUACGUGAGUUCUUAAUUAGGUACGUACCAUGUUCUUUUUUAUGAUUUGGAGAGAUUUUAAUUUGUAUGAAUUGAAAGUUGAUAUACUCGACAGGUGUUCUCUGACUCGUAUAUAAUCAUAAGUUAAUUUUAACUUGUAAAAAAAAUAAUUUCAUUUUUUUAUCAUUUAUUUAUUUAUUUUAGAAGUACUUUUUUAAAAAAAUUAUCCACACAUAUCCUAAAUAGGUAUUACAUGGGUAUAAGUACGUAGUCAUCAAAUCAUUAUAAUUAAUAUACACAACAUACCCCAAAAUAGCUUCACACAUCCAAGUUCUCUGUGUAAAGUAAUCGUACGGCAAGCUAUCAUUAGUGUAAAAAUCACGUUUCAGCUUUUGACGCCAAAGAAACAAAAUGUCAUUGUAGUCUCAACUCAACACGCUAUGCUGUAACCUUUGUGCCUUGUGGGGUUUUAGUCUCCAAAAACUAACACAAAGAAUUGGCUCCUUCAUUUUGUCGUAUCUAAAGAUUUUGCAUGCACAAUAAUUGUCAAGUGCACCCUAUAAUAAUUACCCAUGUUCAUGGCAACUAAAACUAAAAGGAAUGGUGUCCUUAUAAAGUGGUUUUAGGUCUUGGUACUUAAGCCACAAACUGGAAAAAGAAACCAUUGGAAAACGACUAUUCCAGAACUCGAAUUGAAUUUGUUAUGUUGAAUUCAGACACAUAUCUCAGUGAUCUACAGUAUUUAUUGCAGGACAGUGAAACACUGUUAGUAAGCAUUGGCUUUCAUCUUUUAUCAUUUGUGAUGGGUUCUAUUGGGUGGAUAGGGAGAAUUGAACAUUGGAAACCUCAUGCAAAGUAAUAAUGGAAGUAUAUCUUUGGGGAGUUUCAUUCCUUUCAUAUGUGAGGUGCCUCUAUGCAUAUAGGUGGUUCACUUUAAUGAGAUAAAAAUGUCUUAUACUGGUCCAAAGAAUUAUUGUAUAUGGUACAUUUUCUUUUCUUUUACGGGAGACCUUUUUGUUAAGAUGUGACUGUUGGAACUGUCUAACAAAUUAUAAUAGAUAAGAUUUUUAUGUUAAUUCAACCCCUCUUUUUGUUAAGUUCAUAAUUAAUUUAACCCUCCUUUCUUAAUUAUUCUGAGGUCACUUGAUCCAACAAUCAAAGAUGCAAAGGGCAAAGACGUAUUCAGGGUGAAAAUGAAGGCUAAAAGCUAUGCUCUAAAUCUGAUGGAGGAGAAACAAAUAGCUUUUUCAAGCAUGACCACCAAUGUUGAACUAUGGCACAAAAGACUCGGACACUUCCAUCUUGUUGGACUUUUAUACAUGCAAAAACAUGCCUUGGUGAAAGGUAUGUCAAUGCUUGAAGACAAGUUAGCCGAUUGCGCAGCUUUCCAAUAUGGUAAGCUAGUCAGAAAACCAUUUCCUCAAUCAGCUAGGAGAGCAACUCAAAAGCUGCAAUUGGUUCACACAAAUGUUGGGGGACCUCAGAGAGUAUCAUCUUUAAAUGGUAAUAAAUACUAUAUUAGAUUUAUUGAUGAUUAUACUAUAUUUUGUUAGAUUUAUUUCUUUAAAUCCAAGACUAAGGUUGCUAAUAUUUUCUGGAAAUUUAAAGCAUUGGUGGAGAAUCAAAGUGGUUGUAGGUUGCAAACAAUAAGGUCUGACAACGGGAAGGAAUACAAAUAUGAUGUUUUUGAUAAAUUUUGUGAAGAAGCUGACAUUGAGCACCAACUCAUCGUACCUUACACCCCACAACAAAAAAGGUGUGAGUGAGAGAAAAAACAUAAGUAUCAUGGAGAUGACAAGGUGUAUGCUGCAUGAAAAGGAGUUGCUAAAGGAGCUAUGGGCAGAGGCUACAAACACUAUAGUAUUUUUGCUGAAUAGACUACCUACAAGAGUUUUGCACAAAAAAACUCCAUUUGAAGGCUGGUUUGGUUACAAACCAGAUUUACAAAAUCUAAAAAUCUUUGGUUGUGUUUGUUUCUCUUAUGUUCCACUAGUUAAAAAGGACAAACUUGAUAAGAAGGCAGAGCCCGGUGUUUUCAUUGGAUACCGCAACACCUCCAAAGCUUACAGAAUUUUCCAACCCCAAAAUGGGAAAAUUCUUGUGAGUAGAGAUGUCAAAUUUAUGGAAGAUCAACAAUGGAGUUGGGAUGAGCCAAUAAGGAAGCAGCUGCCAGAAAUCCCACAGUUCCUUGAUGAUGAUGAUGUAGAUGACAUUCCUGUUAAAGGUACAAGAUCUUUAUCUGAGAUUUAUCAAAAGAGCAAUGUAGUUGUCCUAGAACCUGCAGAAUUUGAAAAAGCUAAAAAGGAUGACAAGUGGAUAAAUGCUAUGAAGGAAGAGUUGAAAAUGAUCGAAAAAAAUGACACGUAGAAGCUAGUGAACAGACCUCAACACAAACAACCUAUAGAGGUAAAAUGGGUUUAUAGAACCAAACUUAAUCCAGAUGGUUCUAUAAAUAAAUACAAGGCCAGGUUGGUGGUAAAAGGCUAUGCUCAGGUGUUUGGAGUGGAUUUUUCAUAAACCUUUGCUCCAGUUGCACGUCUUGAUACAAUUAGAAUGCUACUUGCCUUGAUUGCACAUAAAAGGUGGAAAGUUUAUCAUUUAGAUGUAAAAUCUGUCUCUCUAAAUGGUUACUUGCAGGAGGAGAUUUUUGUAGAGCAACCUGAGGGGUUUCAAAUCAAAGGAGAAGAGCAGAAAGUUUACAAGUUGAAAAAGGCAUUAUAUGGUCUUAAACAGGCUCCUAGGGCCUGGUACAGCAAGAUAGAUGAUCAUUUUCAGGAUCUUGGAUUUGUCAAAAGUCCAAGUGAGGCUGCAUUAUAUGUGAAAUUGGUAGAUGCAAAUUCAAUCAUUAUUGUUGUCUAUGUUGAUGAUUUACUUGUGACAAGAAGUGAUGAGAAACUCAUAAAGGAGUUUAAAGUUGAAAUGCUUAAAGCAUUUGAAAUGAAAAAUCUUGGCUUGAUGAGUUUCUUUUUGGGAAUAGAGGUGAAACAAGAUCAUGGUGGGAUCCUCAUUCACCAAAAGAAGUAUGCAAGGGAAAUACUCAAGAAGUCUCUUAUGGAGGACUGCAAAAGCACUACAUCUCCAAUGAACCAAAAGGAGAAAUUUAGCAAGGAUGAUGGAGCUGAUAAAGUUGACGAAAUGCAUAACAGAAGCUUAAUUGGUUGCUUAAUGUAUCUUACUGUAACCAGACCUGACAUUUUGUUUGCAGUAAGUAUACUUUCAAGGUUCAUGCAUUGUGCUAGUGAAGUUCAUCUUCAAGCUGGCAAACGAGUUGUUAGAUAUGUUAAAGACACUUUAGACUAUGGUAUAAUGUACUUUCAUUCUCAUAAUUUUAAGCUUCAUGGAUAUUCUAAUAGUGACUGGGCAAGUUGUAUUGAUGACAUGAGAAGCACCUCUGGUUACUGUUUUUCCUUUGGUUUUGGAGUUUUUUCUUGGUGUUCUAAAAAGCAAGAAGUUGUAGCUCAAUCAACUGCAGAAGUAGAGUAUGUAGCUGUUGUUGCUGCAGUGAAUCAAGCUCUUUGGAUCAGGAAAAUUAUGACAUAUUUGCAUAUGAAACAAGAAGAAAGCACACAGAUUUUUGUGGACAACCAGGCUGCAAUCUCAAUUGCUAAUGAUCUGGUGUUUCAUGGCAAAACUAAGCAUUUCAAGAUAAAGCUUUUUCUUCUAAGAGAAAUUCAAAGGGAAGGAGAAGUGAAGUUACUGUACUGCAAAACAGAGAAUCAAAGUGCUGACAUUCUGACCAAGGCACUUCCAAAAGCCAAAUUUGAAUACUUGAGACAAAAGUUUGGAGUUUGCAAUUCCAAAGUCAAGGAGGAAUGUUAAGAUAUGACUGUUGGAACUGUCUAACAAACUAUAAUAGAUAAGAUUUUUAUGCUAUUUUUUAAGAAAAAUAAAAGUCAUAUUGACUAAUAGGAUAAAUCAAUUUUGAUCCUAUUCUUUAGGCAUGAUCUGUUAGUGAUGUUAUCUUUCUAUUAGUCGUUACUUUCUUUUAUAUGUUUUUAAAUACGUUGUUUCAUAUCGAAAUAAAAUAAGUCUUUACCGUCUCAAUUUCUUUCUUUACGUUUCCUUCCAUUCUUUAAUAUUUCUGGCUACUGUUGUUAACAAAAAAAUGACACUUUUUUUUACAUGUGGUAGAUCUAGCUCCAAGUUUUUCCACCCCAUGAAAUUCAUAUCCUAAAUUUUUUUUGUAAAUAGGGUAGUUCAAAAGGCAGAGAAACGACAUUGACAAAAAAUAUUUUGGAUUCAAUUUUUUUUUCUUUUAUGAAAGUCAUCCAUAAAUAUUUUUUAAAGUUCUUGGUAUGAUAUUAUUACGUACGUUAUGUUUUUAUUUGGUAAUUAAUAUGACAACAUCCUGUCCUUAGCCUUUCAAGCUCUUUAUAACUUUUGUUUCAUUCUUAUAGGUACAUUAUAGAUGUUGCUAUUAGUUAGACAAAUGGCAAUCUUUCAUUAAAUAAUUAAUUUAUACGCCAAUAUACUAAAACAAUUUGUUCCUUUAGUACAGCUUCAAACCUAUAUGGUUGAUCCCGGUUAUAAAUUUAUACCACAUAUAGAUUUAUAAGUGAAAAAAGUAAGUUUUUGUAUGGUUUCACAGGAAUAAUAUGAUUUUUGAUGGGCAAUCUCUGGAGCAAGACUGUGUUUUGGAAACUAUCAAACGCAAAUCCUGGUUGUGGUUGGAUUCUUAUGUCAAACAGUUCAAAUACUCCUUCUUCGAAUACUGGCAUUCGAAUGAACCCACUGCUAUGCCUCAAAUGGUUAUGAAGCGUGAGGAAAUUAAGGGAAGCAGGGACAUGGAUAUAAAAAGCUGCAUGUAGAGAUUUAUGAAAUUUGGUUAUGGGUAUUUAUCAUGGGAAAAGGGCUGUUAAAAAUUACCAAGUAUGAUACCUGGGUUUAUUUUGUAAUAUAUGGAUCUUGGGAUAUUCGCUGGUAAAAUAUUUGCCAGGGGAUAUUAUCCUUUAUAUGAUGCUCCUUGUUUUGUAAUUGGUAUCUUUGAUACCCUUAAUAAAAUGUUUGUUUGCAGAUAAAAAGAAAAACUAGAAUUCGUACAUUUAACUAUGAUGUAUAUACAAUAUCUUGCAAACGAAAUUCUAUAUAUUUUUAUUUAUUUUUUUGUUUUUAAUCAUUAUAAGGCUUGAUGUUCGUGAAUUGAAUGAUCAGUUUUAAAGAGAAAAAUUAUUAUGUUGAAUCACUUUGAUUUUCUUAGUUCAUCAUCCAACUAAUUUGAUUCAAAAUUUUAAUUUGAUUUAAUUUGGUUUCAUUUAAAAUGACUUGGAUUGACUCAGUUUUUUAUUUUAAUCCUAUUUUUUCUUUGAGAAAAUAUUAAAUAAAUGGUAAGAUUUAUAAAAUACAGUAAAAAAUAAUUUAAAAUGUCCAACAUUCCAUUUAUAUGUCACUAUAUAACUAAUGAUAGUACAACUUCUUAAAUAUAUAUUAUAUCAAAAAUAAAUUUAGACAAUUUGAUAAUUAUAUUUAUGCAUCAUAACUAAAAGAGUUAGUUUUAUAAAAAAAAAAUCUCAAAGAGUUAGUAAAAAAAUUAUCUUUUAUAUAUUAAAUAUGUUUUUCAUAAAUAAGUAUAAAUUAUAUGAUAAUUUAAUAAAUAUAUAAGAAAUAAAAAUAUCAACAUGAAUGAUAUGAAUUUAUAAUAAAAAUAUAUACAUGUAUAAGUUCAAUUUGAAUUGGAUUGAAUCCAUUUUUAAAAUUAAAUUUGAAAUCCAAUACAAUUCAAUAAAACAUUCCAAUUUUUCACUUUUUUUAUUCAUUUGGUUUCUGGCUGCUUGGACUAGAUUUUUCCCAUCGGAUUGAAUCAUUUUAUGAAUACCCCUAGCUUAAUUGCACUUUUGUUACCGUAAUUGUGUGAUUUAAAUCCUAUACUCCAAUUCUGGAUUGGAUCUUCAAAUCUUACAAUUGUAUAAUUUUAAUCCUCCCAUGAAUAUUUGGUAAAUAUUUAACAAAUAUUGCCAACACACAUUAGAUGAUAAAAUGUCAAUAUCAGUGUUGGCAUAUAUGUUGGCAUGUAUGAUGAUAUUGCUUAAUUAUACUUUUUGUUUCUUAGAUAUUAUAAUUAUGAGUGAUCAUAAUUGAAUCGUGAUUAACAUAUGUGUCAGAUAAUUUGUCAGUUAUUAAUUUGUCAUCUCAUGUUAAGUGAUAACGUUGUUUUGAUAAUAAAAAUAUAUUGAAAAUAUCUUUAAAAAUAUUUAUUUAACAGUUAUUUUUGACUUAAAUGAUAAGAAUAUUUUUGUUAUUUAUGACUUGCAGAUGUGAAAAUAAUGGAUUAAAAGAGAAAAAGAUCGAGAAAAUAUAAAAAAUAUGGAUAAGGAAGAUUUUCAGCAUCAGUGGAUAAGGAAAAUUUUCCGCAUCAGGCCCAAGUUCACUACAACAACUAUAAAAAGAGAGUCAAGCCAAAGCGAUCUAUAAUGUACUCUUCAUUAUUUAUCAAUGAAAUACCACGUGUUUUCUAAUCCAUUAUCUUUUCUGCUUUUAUCUUAUUCAUCUUUGUAUUCUUUUAGGGGUUGUAUGCUUGGGAGAUGAUAACUUCUAAAUAAGAUUAUUUUAACAUCUAGACUUCAUACUUCAUGUAUUUUAUUUGUUGAGUAUUUUGCAAAGGAAGUUGGGAGAUAAAUAAAUAGAAUAGACUUGUCAUCAUGAGGAAUGGAAUUAGGGGCAAGAAUGUGGGUAAAAUAGAAUCACCUAAAUUGAUAAAGAAAAAUUAUAAACUCAUACAUCCUACGCAAACAAGGAAUGUUAGGUUCCAACAUUAUCUGAUUUUCUUUUAUUUUUAUCUUUUAUUUUUCUCAUCUUAUCUUAUUUUUUUAUCUUUAUCUUAAUCUUUUAUUGUUCUUAUCUUUUACUUUUAUUUUCUUAUUUUCUUUAUCUUUUAUUUUGGUCUUUAAAUCUUUGUCUUAUAUAUUUUUUUAUCUUUAUUUUAAAUUCUUUAUCUAUUACUUUUAAAUUGAAUUUGCAUUAAUCUAAGUACAAAUAAAGUCCGUCUGUAUUCGACACUCGAACUUCCAAAUAUUUUAUUACUUGUGACAAUUUGAUACAUUUGUCAACGAGUUGACAAAAUUGAUUUAUAAUUUAACAAAAGAUUGAAAAAAUGAUCAAAAUUACAUAAUUUUAAUGCCUAUACAACCUAAUUUUUCAAUGUAAAAAUAAAAUAAAAAAGUUUUUUCAGGACCAAAAGUCAAGAUAGGAUUUAUUUAAAACUAAAUACAAAAUCCAAAAAAAAAUGAGCAAAAUUAAAAACAUACACAAAUUGGUGCCACGUAUAUAAACAUUUCUUUUUCAUGAACCAAAAACAUGCAUGCAUUGAUGUCGCGUAUAUAAAUUUUGCGUUGAAUUACUGGUACCAACAACCACUAUUGUUUUAAGUUGCUUUAAUGAGAGAGAUUGUGUUAUUGUGGGUUAGAAUCCAUCAUUGAUAAAUAAUAUUUAUGGAUAAAAAAAUUAUUAUUUUGUGUUGCUUUAAUGAUAAUGUAGUAACUAUUAAAUUGAAGCCAGAGUAACAUAAUUAUUUUUGGGCGCCGGGUGACAUCUUCAUCCACCCUUUAACAGAUGAAUGAUGAUGAGAACCCAAGACUAUUCAGUCCUGUCUUGUUUAGAACAAGAAAAAGCCCAAUGACAUUAAAUCCACUUUAAAAAGAAGGUAUACAUCACGGGGCCCUACUGUAAGAACGUUUCAAUAAUUUAUAACGUGACAAUGCUUCCAAAUGCAAUACCACUAACCGAGGGCAUAGGUAAGCAAAAACAUUGCAUUUCGACAAAAACAAAAGAAUAGUCAAAUGUGACGCCAUGACAUUGACAUAGCUUAUUGUCAAAUUACAUCACCUACACUAAGUUUAAAUUUACAACUAUCAUGCUUAGUCAUGCUAUUAUAUACCUCUCCUAAUGAAACAAACCUAGGCUUUCUACACCUCAUAAUUAUAAUACUCAUUUUCUACAUGAAAGGCCUAAUCGAAGCCUUAACAUAGCCAAAACAACUUACCAAUAGAAUUUAGCAAGUCACAUGCAAUUUUUCAGAUUCAUUCAACAUACUUAGCUCGUGUAUGUAAAAGUGCUAAAAGGCAAUAACUUGAGAUGACAACACAGACAUCAAAACUGCUCUUACAACGUCAUUUAAGGGGAAAGUGUCGUGAAUGUGACUCAUUUACAGUCCUCAACAAACAGCUACUAAAUAAUGAAGUUUAUGAUAUUAAGCUUUCAAUGACAGAAUACCACGUGGUAUUGUAACCUAAACCAUAAAUUAGUGAUGAUUUUUUUUUCGUUCAUAUGUAAUGGAAGUGAAUGAUUUGUUUAGUUAAAGAAUUUGUAUUUGAUUAUUAUCGUGUUAAAUUAUUUUUUUUGGACAACUAACAUACAGUAAAAUUAAUCUUUGAUUCAAUAAAUCUAAAAAUAAAUAAAAAAAAAUAACAUAUUAUACAAGUAUUUAGUUGAAGCCAAAGUAGUCGAAUAUAUUACAUAAACCCCAAAAGCAACAGCUCAUAACACUAAGCUUUAGUGUCACAUGCAUGCCGAAACCUACCUGUGCAAGUGUGCAUUAAGUCACUGAAUACUGAGACAUUUAGAUGGGAAAAGGUAAUCAUCAAUAAAAAGUGUUGAUCCAUAUCAGCUACAUUAAUCUUGUUAAAUACUUUAAUACCCUCGUGUCUCAACAAAUAUCUUAUAUGACUAUUUAAUCCAAAAUUAACCCAAAACCAUAUCAGUUAAAUUUUAAGAGAAUUUUUUUGCUUUAAAUAAGUUAUAUAUUAGGCAUUUUUUGUCAAUGUGUAUGAUAAUUUUGUCAAAAUGUGACUUUUUUUACUUUAUAAAAAAUAUCUUUUUGUCUGUAGACUUAAAGUUUGAAUUUUAGUUGUCUUAUCCUCUUACUAGCACCUUACAUUUAUAUCAUUUAUAUUUUUCAUUUUUAUCAAUUCACAAUAAGUUGAAUAAUAAAUUAUAGUGCCAGGUGUUAACCAUCAAAUUUAAUAUCUUAGGUUGAUGACUUGAUUACCAUUCUGACAAGCCAGUGGUAGCCUUCUGAAGAUAUGCUUUAAAUUCAAUUUUAUAAGAGUAAAACAGAACUACAAAGAAAGCAAAAUAAGCAAUUAUGAAAUACACUCUCACCAGUUGAGUAUGCAAGGUUCAUUGCAUCAGUUAAGAAAAUAACACGAAAAAAAUAUAGAAUUAAAACUUUGACAUUAGAGAAACUAAAAAUAGAAGUACCUUGUAUAAUAACAAAUAAACAAGAAAUUGUGUCCCCACCCCUCUAAAAAAAGAAACUUAACCUAGUGCAAUUACUAAAUUGUAAACAGUAAAAACAAAAGCUGUUUUCACCUCAAUGUACAAGCCUACAAAUCAAUUUCCUCUUGCAUGAACAUCAUAAGGAGGACUACAGCUAGAGAACCUCAAAAAACAAACCUUUGGUUUUUCUUUUGGGUAAUUCAAACCAUUCAAUAUUAAUUACAAUGAACCCGGUAUACUACAAAAAGCCAGGCCACAUUGAAGACUCAUGUAAAUUUUGGUUUAGGCACAGGACCAUUAUUAUGAUGCACAGGACCAAGCUUUUGAAUCCAAUGGAGAAGCCCUUUCUUGUGAUCUUGGCAACAAGGAUUUUCCACCAGAGUCAGAGUUCCAUCAUGAGCAAGCGAAGAUUCAAAUUGUUCUAAUACCUUAACAACCUGCCAGAACUCGGGCCUCUUGUCCGGAUGCAAAGACCAACAUUGCUCGAUUAAAGCUCGCAUUGCAGGUGGACAGUCUGAAGGAAUAACUGGCCUUGCAUUCUGAAUACAGCAUCACAAAAGUAUUAGAAUUGCAUAGGUAAACAGUGUCAUUUAGCUAGCAAAAUAUUUUCCACAAUUAUCCAAUACAUGAUGAUCCUAAGAAUUCAAUUUAGCUCCAUUCUUGGUAAUCUUAUCAACUACUAUGCUACAUCACUUGAUGAAACAGAGACAUAUGUAAUAAUGACAUAUAAACUAAUGCAUGCUACAUCAAUUUUUUUUCCUCUUUUUUAAUAAGUUGGUCAUACAUGUCUAGAAUGGAUGAAAAUAAUCUCUAUAUUUCACCAUUGUUUUCAAAGCAAAGGAGGUAUCUUGCCAAGGAUUUUAGCCACAUCUCAAAAAUACAUUUGGUUUAGCUAUAAAAUAUAUAGUACUCAUCAGACGGGCUAUAAACUCAUUAGCAAUUAUUCAGUGGCAAUAUGAUUGAUUUCCUCAGCCAGGAUAAUGAUACCUCCUUUGGCAAUCAUCACUCAACAUAUUGAAAUAAAAGCUUUAAGAAAGAAAGAAAAAAUGAUGAAAAAAUGGAUGAAAAUUGAAAAGAGUAGUUAAAUCAUGAUAUAAGUGGAUGAAGCAUUGCAAAAAGGAAAAAAUGUCCUUCCAUUUACAACAUAAAAGGUUUCAACUGCUACAUCUGAGAGUAACAGUCGCUUUUAUAAAAUACAUUCAAAGAUUGCAAAACAUAUUAGUUAAUGGAGCAUGUAUUGUCUAUCUUCAAGCGAACUGUAUCAUUAAUGGAACCCAUGUCCAGUUUGCAUUACUCUUGUAUGCCAGUCAUUCAGAGAGGUUUGGGCGGAUAAAUGGGGCUGUAGACCUUUUCCUAUUAUUGACAAGAUUUCAAUGCAGAGUGCACAGAAAGCAAUGCAACUUUACAACGAGUAUUGUUACAGACAAUGAAGAAUAAUGCAACAAAUAUUAGUAGAUUGUGACAUUCACAUUACAAUUCAUAUGACUUAAUUGCGAAGAAACAUACCUUAUUUACUACGGCAAAAGCAGCCUGGAUGGGAGUCAUAUCCUCAUAUGGUAUAGUUCCAGUCACCAUUUCCCAUAAGAUAAGCCCAAAACUAUAUACAUCAACCUUUCUCCCAUAGGAUUUUCGUUUGAUCAUCUCAGGUGCCAUCCAGCGGUAGGUACCAGGGUCAUCAGCAAAUAAGUCACAGUAUGCUUCCUCACAAGCAAUGCCAAAAUCAGCAAUUUUAAGGUGAAAGUCUUCAUUGAUAAGGACAUUCUCCGGUUUAAGGUCUCGGUGAAUGACACCUUGAGAGUGUAUAUAUUCCAUUCCACGAGCAAUGUCCAGAGCAAAAGCAAUUAGCUUCCCUAGAGAAAUAGUUUUUCUUUCCAACUUAUGCAAAUAUGACCUCAACGAACCUUCUGAUAGAUAUUCUGUGAUAACACAAUAAACAUGUGGCUUUCUACAUGCUGCUACGAACUGUGUAAUCAGAUCAAGAUAAAUGAGAAGUGUGUAAGUACCAGCCUCCUAAUCACAUUAAAUUCUCUGAACAUGAUAUGAACUGCUCAAUCAGACUAUGGUAAAGAAUAUAAAAUGAAGUAUUCUUGAUUUUACUGGUGAUUAUCUCAACAUAACUAAAGGGUCAAGUACAGUAAUUAGCACAAAAUAAUGGAUAUUCUCACCCUGUAUUCAACAAGAAAAACAUAUAGUAUCUGAACAAAAGCGAAUGACAAAACUUAGAUAAAGUUCAGCAGGUGCGUGUAGUGCUGUUCUUCACUAAAAAUGUGAUAAGUGUCCCGUGUUUUUGGUACUACCUUAUCCUCCUUUAAAAAGGCUUUAAAGUUAAGGUUAAGGUGUAAAAAAACAAUACACAUACCUUGUUUUUAUCAGAAAACAACAACUGCGCCACAAGCUUGAAAAAUGAAGCAAAUAGAAGUUUGUAAACAGCAUAUACAAAAGGAGGUAAAGGAUUGGAUUAGAUUACCUUUAUAACAUUUUGAUGGUGGAGGCACGAUAAAAGCGAUACUUCUCUAAUGAAUUGUUUCUCUAAUCGAUCCACCAACAUUCCAUUUUCGUCAUCAUCCGGUACCGUGAUAAUUUUCACAGCUACAGCUUCAUCUUUAUACAUGCCAUGGUAAAGCCUGCUAUGAGCACCAUGAGCAAACCUAACACCAACAAAGAGCUUGGAGAGGUCAACAUUCCAUUCCUCAGCUGUUUCCACAGCAGUAACCUUUCCCCCUCCAUGAUCAAAGUACUUUGUCCAUCCCAAAUCCUUUCGGUGCUGCUUCGAGCUUAAUUUCAUCGAAGCAAGGUGCCUAAUUGGACUGCUGUAAGGGGAUUUAGUAGUAAUUGGACUACUGCGAGGGGAUUUGGAAUUGGACACAUGAGAAUCCUUGUUGAGCAACUUCCCCAUGAUUCUCUUGUCCUUGUUCUGUUCUUUCCUCCUUGGACCAGGUGUUGAGAACCUCUUCUGCUCAUGUCUGGCUUCCUUGAAGGUCUCAGAGAGAGAGGUUCGAGGCAAAGGGGACAAAGAUCUCUGCUUGUUCAUUAUUGGUUUCUUCUGAGCCUUGUUGGAAGCAAAAGCCACUUCAGGCCUUGAUUUCAGACUACUAGAACUGUGUUGUGCCCUUGGCUGAAUGCUGAAAGAGCCAAAUCCAGAACUGGAAUAGUUCAACCUGUGACAUACUGUGUGGGAGAAUUUGGCCCUCCUUAUCCAAGAAUUACUGCUAUCUUCAUCCAUCUUUUACCCUUUCUUCUUCAGAAGAAGAAGAAAACUAGAAGCACCUUACAAAAUCACUUUAUCCACAAUCUGAGAAAUAACUAGUCUUAAAGCCAAAAGGGUGGUGGUCCCCAAAAAACAAACUUCUCAGACUAAUUUCACACAAUCACAGGUAACUAGAUUUCCUCAAACUCAUCAACAACAACUGAGGGAUUGAACCAUGAAAAGUCAAAAAAAAAAAAUCCCAAUUGGAAUCAGAAAACCACUCAAAGCAAUCAAAACCCAGCAAGAAUGAGUUGAUGGAAAUUGGAAACCCCUCCCCCCCAAAAGAGAGAAAAAAAUCUGAAUUAAAAGCCAACAACAAACAUGCAGUGCUGUAGCGAGAGGUAACAGAAACUCCAAUCAAUCAAAAAAAAAACUUGACCUUUCAUAACCUCCUCAGCUGACACCUUUUACCAACAAAGUCAAACACCCACCACCUUCCGUAAAUGCCUGGAAAUCCCACACAGAUACCAGAAUACACUAAUCAAACCCCAAAAACAAAAAAUAUUCACUUUAAUUCAAAUCAGCAGAAAAACCACAAGUUAAAAACUAUUAGUACUUAUUUUACGUUGAUAAUGCAGAAACACCCAUCAUUAUACGUCCCCAUUGACUAACAAUAAUACUCAUUAUUUUAAAGAGUGACGAGCCAAUUAAACUAUUAUUAUAUUUCCAAAAGACCCAAAUACAGAAACAAAAAAAAAAUCAUUUUUUUAUAAAGAAAAGCAUCCCCAAAUACAAAGAAGAAAAGGGUGUCAGUAAAAUGCUAAAAUUGCAUUACCCGGAGAAAUAUCAAACCCGCGUACUACAAUUCUACAAAGGGUGUUUUUUUUGUUUUUCUUAUAUCAAAUUAUAAGAGCUUAUAAUAUGCUGAUAAAGACAGAAAUUUCCUGCACCUAAUAAAUACUCCACUUUCCACGAAGAGAGAGAGAGAAAAAAAAUCUUUUAUUUACUACUAUUAUUUUAUUAUUUUGAGAAUACAUAUACUUUGAUAAAUUUUAAAGGUGUCUUAGUAUAUUGAUUAAGAAAUUAAAGAAAUGUUUGAUAGAGAAAAAGUUUUAUUAUUUUUAAAAUUAUAUUUUUAAUAAUGAAUAAAUUUUUGUUUGAUUGGAUAUCAAAAAAUUCUAGAAAUUAAAAAAUUAUAUAAUAUAUUUACCAGUUAUUUUAAUUAUUUAUCACACUCAUAAUAAUAACAUGAUUUUUGUAUGUAAUAGAAAAAUUAAACUCGAAAAGUAAAAUUUUCAAAAACAAAAUCUUAAUUUUUAAAAACAAAUAAAAACACAGGAAACCAAGAUUUUCAAUCCUAAAUUCCUAAAAAACUUAAAACUUUUUCCUACCAAAAGACUUUUUAAAACCUCCUAAAAAGAGGAUUUUAUUAAGAUAAGUAAAAAUAUAUUUUCUAUAACUUUUUAUACACUCUUAUAAAAUCUUCAUGAAAAAUAUUCUUCUUCUAAUUUGUUAACCAAAUAUCCUUGGUCACAAGUCAGCAACAUCCAUACUUACAAUUUUAGAAUGGUCAAUGGUGAAUACGAAUGUGAACGAGUUUGGUAUGACAAACGCAGGAAAUAGAGAUUAGAGGGCGCAGAUUUUGGAAAUUGGAAGAUGAUGUUUUGGACUAGAGACGGCCAUGAUGAGGUUUGCUCCUUUGGUGGGAUGAAGGGUAACUCUGUAGGGUAGAGAUGGGGAUGGAUGUACUCAUUGUUACGUGCAGGAGAGUUAAUAUGUUUUGUAUUGCUUUCUUAGUAGAAAUAUUUAUUGUCAUUAAUUAUAUUUGGUAGGUUUUAAAUAUAAGAGAUUCUUACAUGUUCUUAUGAUAGUGUUGUUAUACCAUACUGCUUUAAUGCUUGUCUUGAUGCGUUUUUUUAUUGUUUUAAAACAUUUUAAUGAUUCUUGUGAUUAGUAAAAAAAAUGUAUUGUAAUUAAUGAUUUACCUAACUUGUGUGGCGAAUUUGCAUACUUAUAGCAAUCAAUUUAUAUAAUGAUAUGUACUAUACUGAAUCGACAAAACCUUCAUACUGUGUGGGCGGGCAUGUACAUCUCUUGUUUUAUUUAUUCUCUGAGUCUCGACAGAGAUUAAAAAAAAAAUUUACUGAUUAUCGAAGAGAAGAAUCAAGGUAAGAUCCCACACAGAAUUGUCAAAUAAGAUAAGAUUACAUUCAAAUAAGAUAAUAACAUAAUGUAAAAUUGUUAUUUGCCUAUUAGUUUCCAAGAAUAAAUAUAUGUACUUGACAAUGUAACAAUGUUUACUAUUUAAUCACAAUUUUUACCAUUACUGAUUAGUUUGUUAAUAGUUAUUUUAAAAAUUAUAUAAACAAAGAUUUAUAAUUGAUUAAUAUUGUAAAAAGAACUAAACUACAAAUAUAUCAAUAUGUAGAAAUAAAAUUCAUAUAGUAAUUAUUAAAAAAAAUUAAAAGCUAAUACAUUUGAUAAAUGGAAGGAAGUGGGAAAGGAAGGAAAAUAAAAGUCACGAGACAGAAUUGAAAGUAUGAGUUUUAUUUUUGGUUAGAAUAAUUCUAUUAUUUUUAGUAAUGUAUUUUUUAUAAAUUUUUAUUUAUUAAAUAAAGAAAGAACUAAAUACAUUAAACACAUAUUUAAAAUAUUGAAAUAUUUAAUUUUUAUUCAAUAUUUAUUUUAUAAAAUAUUCACAAAAUUAUAAGAAAAAUAUAGAGUAAUUAUGUUCAUAUUUAUUUUUUAUCUUGUUUUUAAUUAUCAUUUCUGUUUUCUUUUUUCAUCACAUCAUUUAUUAUUUUGUUCUUCUACUUUUAUUCUGCUUUCUUUCUUCUUUCUUUCUUCUUCUUCAAAUCUACUCCAAAAUGAAAGGAAUGUCUAUUGUAUUUGUUUUUAAAUAUAAUAAGAACUGCAACAUUACUUUAGAUGUGUUUAGUCUAGAGAAGAAAAAUAGAGGGAAAAAAAGAAAUAAAAAAUAUUUUUUAAAAUUAAAAUAAAAUAUAAAAGGUAUAAGUCUCACAAAAUAUAAUAUCAAUUUUUUUGAAUAUUAUUUUCCUCUUUAAACAAACAAAUCCUUUCUUCUCUAUAUUGUUUAGUUAAAAGAAAUGGUGAGAGCGUAUGGUGAAUGGAGGAAUCCAUGUGUCACUAUAGGGGAGAAUGAGGUACGGAUUCGAUUUUUGUAUAUGUUUGGUUCUGAAGAUGCAUACUUCAACGAAACUACUACACAACUUGUACGGUUGGUUGCAUUGUACGAUACGGUUCCCAAAACAAAACUAAACCCAUUUGGCCACCAAACGGUACGAAUCUACAUAACUUUGUACCUUGUUUACCCAAAAAAUAAGAAAUGAAAUCGACUUAAUUUAACACUUAUUGUCACAUUACUUGUUUGUUUCGAUGUUAAUGGCCUCUUAUGCUGUCUUAAUUAAUAAGAACAAGAUAUAAAUCUCAUUAGAAAUUAUAUUAUUGGCUUAAGUUAGAGAAGACAAAUACAUGGGGACAUGGGGUGAUGGGGGAAGCCUUUGCUUGCACUUAAUGUCAUUGGAAAAAUUUAAAAAUUAAGAAAUGCAAUAUUCAAUUAUUAUUUCCCAAUGGCCAAACAAAAUAUCCUUAUUGUACGGAUUUUGAAUCUCCAUUCAAUAUUAAAUGGUGAGUGAUUAUGAUUUUUUGAAAAUAAAAUAAAAUAAAAAGGUAGAUGAAGAUGGCAUAUAUAUGAUAAGAGUUAUUAGUUUUACCCAUGCAACCAUCUAUUAGAAUAUUAGUUGAACAUAUUUCCCGUGACAUGGAGAAGAACAAUUCCUAUUUUUUCAUAUAUGUUGAAAAUUUUCAUACCUUGCAGGCAGGCAUGGAAAACUUGACCUUGCACAGUCACACAUAUAUGAUAGGAGAGAGAAAGA